rnacentral:rRNA from 1 species
UCAAGCAAGAAAGAGCACAGGGUGAAUGCCUUGGCACUGGGAGCCGAUGAAAGACGUGGUAAGCUGCGAAAAGCUUCGGGGAGGCGCAAACAGCCAUCGAUCCGGAGAUUUCUGAAUGGGGAAACCUACUUGAGCAAACCUCAAGUAUCCAUACGUGAAUCCAUAGCGUAUGGAAGGGAACGUUGUGAACUGAAACAUCUAAGUAGCAAUAGGAGGAGAAAGAAAAAUCGAUUUCCUAAGUAGCGGCGAGCGAAAGGGAAAGAGGCCAAACCGAAGGACCUGGUUCUUCGGGGUUGUGGACUGCAUCAAGCGAUGGAGGCUAUGGUAGUCGAACUGUUUUGGGAAAGCAGACCAAAGACGGUGAAAGUCCGGUAGACGAAACCAGAAGACCCGCUGCAGGAUCCAGAGUACCACGGGACACGAGAAACCCUGUGGGAAGCCGGGGGGACCACCCCCCAAGCCUAAAUACUCCCCAGUGACCGAUAGUGAAGCAGUACUGUGAAGGAAAGGUGAAAAGAACCCCGGGAGGGGAGUGAAAAAGAACCUGAAACCUUGUGCUUACAAACAGUCAGAGGUCUUCGGACUGAUGGCGUACUUUUUGUAGAACGGUCCGGCGAGUUACUAAUGCCAGCGAGGUUAAGUGGUCAGAAGCCACGGAGCCGAAGGGAAACCAAGUCUGAAUAGGGCGUAAAGUUAGUAUUAGUAGACCCGAAACCGGGUGACCUAUCCAUGUCCAGGUUGAAGGAGCCGUAAAAGGCUUUGGAGGACCGAACACACAUCUGUUGAAAAAGGUGGUGAUGAGGUGUGGAUAGCGGAGAAAUUCCAAUCGAACUCGGAGAUAGCUGGUUCUCCUCGAAAUAGCUUUAGGGCUAGCCUCGAGAUGGAGUCUAACGGAGGUAAAGCACUGAACUGACGCGGGGCCCAAAAAGGUUACCAACUCAUAUCAAACUAAGAAUGCCGUCAAGAUACCCUCGGGAGUCAGUCUGCGUGAGAUAAGUCGCGUGGACAAAAGGGAAAGAGCCCAGACCGACAGCUAAGGUCCCAAAGUACGUGUUAAGUGGAAAAGGAUGUGGGAUUUCAUAGACAACUAGGAUGUUGGCUUAGAAGCAGCCAUACAUUUAAAGAGUGCGUAACAGCUCACUAGUCGAGAAAACCUGCGCCGAAAAUUUAACGGGGCUAAAACACGACACCGAAGCUACGGAUUCCUUACUAGGUAAGGAGUGGUAGAGGAGCAUCCUGCAAGGACGAAGCCAAAGCGGAAGCGAUGGUGGACGAAACAGGAGAGAGAAUGCCGGAAUGAGUAGCGAGAUAGAAGUAAGAAACUUCUAGGCCGAAUAUCUAAGGUUUCCUGGGUAAAGCUAAUCUUCCCAGGGUUAGUCGGGGCCUAAGGCGAGGACGAGAGUCGUAGUCGAUGGACAACAGGUUGAUAUUCCUGUACUACGUAUCAUCAGAACUGUGGGGACGCAGGAGGAUAGGAAAACCGGGGAAUGGAAAGACCCGGCCAAGUACAAAGUCAAGGGAGAUAGGCAAAUCCGUCUCUUGAUGAUGAAGUGCGAUGGGGACUGAACAAAAGUAGGGAAGUUUCCGAAUCCACACUGUCGAGAAAAGCCGCUAUUGUGUGAUACGUACCCGUACCGUAAACCGACACAGGUAGAUGAGGAGAAAAUCCACAGGCCGACGGGAGAAGUGUUGUUAAGGAACUCGGCAAAAUGACCCCGUAACUUAGGGAGAAGGGGAGCCACGAGAGUGGUCACAGAAAAGAGGCUCAAGCAACUGUUUAGCAAAAACACAGGUCUCUGCGAAACCGAAAGGUGAAGUAUAGGGGCUGACACCUGCCCGGUGCUGGAAGGUUAAAAGGAGAGGUUCGACGUAAGUCAAAGCUUUGAAUUCAAGCCCCAGUAAACGGCGGCCGUAACUAUAACGGUCCUAAGGUAGCGAAAUUCCUUGUCAGGUAAGUUCUGACCCGC